AGAGUUKCWAUCAUGGCUCAGGAUGAACGCUGGCGGCGUGCCUAAUACAUGCAAGUCGAGCGAACAGAYGAGGAGCUUGCUCCUCUGAYGUUAGCGGCGGACGGGUGAGUAACACGYGGGUAACCUACCUAUAAGACUGGAAUAACUCCGGGAAACCGGGGCUAAUGCCGGAUAAUAUGCGGAACCGCAUGGUUCUGCAAUGAAAGACGGUCUUGCUGUCACUUAUAGAUGGACCCGCGCCGUAUUAGCUAGUUGGUAAGGUAACGGCUUACCAAGGCAACGAUACGUAGCCGACCUGAGAGGGUGAUCGGCCACACUGGAACUGAGACACGGUCCAGACUCCUACGGGAGGCAGCAGUAGGGAAUCUUCCGCAAUGGGCGAAAGCCUGACGGAGCAACGCCGCGUGAGUGAUGAAGGUCUUCGGAUCGUAAAACUCUGUUAUUAGGGAAGAACAAGUGCGUAGGUAACUAUGCGCACCUUGACGGUACCUAAUCAGAAAGCCACGGCUAACUACGUGCCAGCAGCCGCGGUAAUACGUAGGUGGCAAGCGUUAUCCGGAAUUAUUGGGCGUAAAGCGCGCGUAGGCGGUUUUUUAAGUCUGAUGUGAAAGCCCACGGCUCAACCGUGGAGGGUCAUUGGAAACUGGAAAACUUGAGUGCAGAAGAGGAAAGUGGAAUUCCAUGUGUAGCGGUGAAAUGCGCAGAGAUAUGGAGGAACACCAGUGGCGAAGGCGACUUUCUGGUCUGCAACUGACGCUGAUGUGCGAAAGCGUGGGGAUCAAACAGGAUUAGAUACCCUGGUAGUCCACGCCGUAAACGAUGAGUGCUAAGUGUUAGGGGGUUUCCGCCCCUUAGUGCUGCAGCUAACGCAUAAGCACYCCCCSCCCYG
rnacentral:rRNA from 1 species